UGGGGAUAUAGCUCAGUGGUAGAGCACUUGCCUGGCAAGCAUGGGGCCCUGGGUUCGAGCCCCAGUGCUAUAA